UGGGGAAUUUUGGACAAUGGGGGCAACCCUGAUCCAGCAAUGCCGCGUGUGUGAAGAAGGCCUUCGGGUUGUAAAGCACUUUUGUCCGGAAAGAAAACGCCGUGGUUAAUACCCGUGGCGGAUGACGGUACCGGAAGAAUAAGCACCGGCUAACUACGUGCCAGCAGCCGCGGUAAUACGUAGGGUGCAAGCGUUAAUCGGAAUUACUGGGCGUAAAGCGUGCGCAGGCGGUCCGCUAAGACAGAUGUGAAAUCCCCGGGCUUAACCUGGGAACUGCAUUUGUGACUGGCGGGCUAGAGUAUGGCAGAGGGGGGUAGAAUUCCACGUGUAGCAGUGAAAUGCGUAGAGAUGUGGAGGAAUACCGAUGGCGAAGGCAGCCCCCUGGGCCAAUACUGACGCUCAUGCACGAAAGCGUGGGGAGCAAACAGGAUUAGAUACCCUGGUAGUCCACGCCCUAAACGAUGUCAACUAGUUGUUGGGGAUUCAUUUUCCUUAGUAACGUAGCUAACGCGUGAAGUUGACCGCCUGGGGAGUACGGUCGCAAGAUUAAAACUUAAAGGAAUUGACGGGGUCAUAGCUGUUUCCU
rnacentral:rRNA from 1 species